rnacentral:rRNA from 1 species
UACGGAGGUCCCGAGCGUUGUUCGGAUUCACUGGGCGUAAAGGGUGCGUAGGCGGUGUGGUAAGUCGGCUGUGAAAUCUCCGGGCUCAACCCGGAGAUGGCAUUGGAAACUACCUUGCUGGAGGAUUUGAGGGGGGAUUGGAAUACUUGGUGUAGCAGUGAAAUGCGUAGAUAUCAAGUGGAACACCAGUGGCGAAGGCGGCAUCCUGGACCAAUAUUGACGCUGAGGAGCGAAAGCCAGGGGAGCAAACGGG